UCCCUGGUGGCUCAGAUGGUAAAGCAUCUGCCUACAAUGUGGAAGACCCAGGUUUAAUUCCUGGGCUGGGAA
rfam:TPA: Bos taurus chromosome 29, whole genome shotgun sequence.